rnacentral:rRNA from 1 species
GAAACAUCUUAGUACCCGGAGGAAGAGAAAGAAAAUUCGAUUCCCUUAGUAGCGGCGAGCGAAACGGGAAGAGCCCAAACCAACAAGCUUGCUUGUUGGGGUUGUAGGACACUCUAUACGGAGUUACAAAGGACGACAUUAGACGAAUCAUCUGGAAAGAUGAAUCAAAGAAGGUAAUAAUCCUGUAGUCGAAAAUGUUGUCUCUCUUGAGUGGAUCCUGAGUACGACGGAGCACGUGAAAUUCCGUCGGAAUCUGGGAGGACCAUCUCCUAAGGCUAAAUACUCUCUAGUGACCGAUAGUGAACCAGUACCGUGAGGGAAAGGUGAAAAGCACCCCGGAAGGGGAGUGAAAUAGAACCUGAAACCGUGUGCUUACAAGUAGUCAGAGCCCGUUAAUGGGUGAUGGCGUGCCUUUUGUAGAAUGAACCGGCGAGUUACGAUUUGAUGCAAGGUUAAGCAGUAAAUGUGGAGCCGUAGCGAAAGCGAGUCUGAAUAGGGCGUUUAGUAUUUGGUCGUA